AAGUCGUAACAAGGUUUCCGUAGGUGAACCUGCGGAAGGAUCAUUAGUGAAUCUUCAAAGUCGGCUCCUCGUACUGUGCUGGUGGAGACACAUGUGCACGUCGGCGAGUCGCAAACCCACACACCUGUGCAUCUAUGACUCUGAGCGCCGCCUUGCAUGGCCUUGACCGGCCUGGCGUUCGAGUACUUUCACACACUCUGGAAUGUAACGGAAUGUCUUGUUGUGCGAUAAUGUACAAAUCGAAACAACUUUCAACAACGGAUCUCUUGGCUCUC
rnacentral:misc_RNA from 1 species